UCCGGUUUGUCACCGGCAGUCUCCCAUGAGUCCCCAACUGAAUGCUGGCAACAUACGACGAGGGUUGCGCUCGUUGCGGGACUUAACCCAACAUCUCACGACACGAGCUGACGACAACCAUGCACCACCUGUAACCGAGUGUCCAAAGAGUUCCACAUUUCUGCGGCGUUCUCGGUUAUGUCAAGCCUUGGUAAGGUUCUUCGCGUUGCUUCGAAUUAAACCACAUGCUCCACCGCUUGUGCGGGUCCCCGUCAAUUCCUUUGAGUUUUAGCCUUGCGGCCGUACUCCCCAGGCGGGGCACUUAAUGCGUUAGCUACGGCACAGAGCCCGUUGAUAAGGCCCCACACCUAGUGCCCAACGUUUACGGCGUGGACUAC
rnacentral:misc_RNA from 1 species